rnacentral:misc_RNA from 1 species
GCACAACAAUUUUAUCAAUGACAGUAGAUAAUGUAAGAAAGCAUGCAAGGAAGGGAUCACCAAACUAAAAAAACAAGCCUGAGGGAAGCACUACCGCAUGGAAGUGACCUUUAAUUAGUUAAAAGUAGAAAGAACAUCUCUACACAAUAAAAUGCUGUACGGAAUAAUAUCCUUAGUCUAAUAAAAACAACCCACACCAACCAUAUCCCAGUCUUCACAUUCUAAUAGAUUAAAUGCCCAGACACUAGCCUUUGCGAGCCAAGUAACCUGCGAAAAAGGCACUUACCCCACAAGUAAUCGCAAAAUCAUAACUUGAUUGCACAAAUCAACAUAUUUUCAACCCCACCUUAAUCUUACCAGUUUUCCUGCUACAAUUAUAGCUGAGGGAGACUACCAUUCCCCUUCCUAGCACUGGAAUUCACCAUUCGCGGAUCUUGAUCCUUUUCAGCCACCAUUCCGUGGUUUAUCAUCUCCCUUUGGCCAUUCUCACGAACCAAUUCCCCAGACUUCUCGUGCUCAACUCCAAUAGCACCGUUAUGAUUCUGCAUUAAUCCUCCCCUAAAAGCAGGUGAAGGGGUCACCAUUGCUACCCCAUUCAUCUCCACAUCCAUGGCAGAUCCAUUAUUCUCACCUGGCAACCCCAGGGUCGGAUUCUGCCCUUUCAAGUCCACAGAAUUCAAAGCUACUAAAACCUCAGAAGACCCAUCCAACCUCUCCGCAUUCAUGACAUUCUCCUCCUCCAAUGGCAGAGCUGCAACCACCAUACUAAGGCAUUGAUUACUACCUCUGUUACUCCCAUUGCCAUAACCCAAUCCUGGGCCAUUAGAAGGAUACUGCAAUAUAUCCUUCUUCUUCAGCUUAUCCCUAGCCGUAAGAUAAGCCACAUGGUCUAU